AGUGAACGCUGGCGGUAGGCCUAACACAUGCCAGUCGAACGGCAGCACAGUAAGAGCUUGCUCUUACGGGUGGCGAGUGGCGGACGGGUGAGGAAUACAUCGGAAUCUACUUUUUCGUGGGGGAUAACGUAGGGAAACUUACGCUAAUACCGCAUACGACCUACGGGUGAAAGCAGGGGAUCUUCGGACCUUGCGCGAUUGAAUGAGCCGAUGUCGGAUUAGCUAGUUGGCGGGGUAAAGGCCCACCAAGGCGACGAUCCGUAGCUGGUCUGAGAGGAUGAUCAGCCACACUGGAACUGAGACACGGUCCAGACUCCUACGGGAGGCAGCAGUGGGGAAUAUGGGACAAUGGGCGCAAGCCUGAUCCAGCCAUACCGCGUGGGUGAAGAAGGCCUUCGGGUUGUAAAGCCCUUUUGUUGGGAAAGAAAAGCAGCAGGUUAAUACCCCGCUGUUCUGACGGUACCCAAAGAAUAAGCACCGGCUAACUUCG
rnacentral:rRNA from 1 species